rnacentral:lncRNA from 1 species
AUUGCCUAUCAAGAAAUCGGCAAACGUCCCCAAAUCAAUUCGACAAGAGAAAAUCCCUAAACCUUAUUACCAAGACGACGUCGCCGCUCGCACUACCGUAGCCGCCGUGGAACCUCUGUCGAGUUACUAAAGAGAAGGUAAACACUGGCGUUUACAAUGGAUAUCUAAUUGGUUGAAAAUUGCAUCUUCAUUUUUUUUCUUUCUAUUUCCAUACAUCGCACUCUGUAAAAUAUCAAAGUUUGCAUAUUUUUUCAAAAGUUGAUCGGAAACAAUCUGUAAAUGAAAUGAUUGGCCUGUAACUAAGAUUUAUUUCAUGCGACGAUCUUAAGAUUUAUGUAAUUUGUUUUCAUGGUUUUGGAAGGGAUGAAAUGCCUAAUAGAGUGAGUGAUAACAGUUGUAAAUUAUUUCAAUGGAGAUGUAUGAGUACAAGUCGGGAGAGUGAUGCAGGCCAAUAAAAAAUUAAAAACUUGGAAUUAAUCUGACCACAUGCCAAGCUUUUUUAUUUAUUUAAACAGUCGUGUUAAAAUCCUCGGUUCAAGGGUUUUUGGCGUUUGAGUUUUGGUGGUAGAGUUGUAUGAAAGCUCCUUUAGUUUUAUUAAUCACAUGGAUAAGGCUUGGCUAAUCACUAAGGUAAAUCUUGUUAUUGAUCUAUUUGAAAACUUCACUUCAAAUUUUGUGGGGGAUAAGAUUGAUUCUCUGGGCUCCAACUUCCAAUUAUGAUAGUCACCUUCUUAGUGGAAUCUUGAUCUCUAGGAGCUACUAAAAAUUAGUGGAAGAAUUAUUCCUUCUGUUUAAGCUAUCUUCUUCGAAUUUAGUUUUAGACACUUCCUUAAUUAUGUCCUCAUUCAAAGUUUUCUAUUUCAAGAUUGGAUCACAUUUAUCUUAGGGAAACAUACACGUAACUAUGUCCUGGUGACACGUUUUAGGCAUCUAAAAGUUGAUGCCAAGAGUUGCCAUAGGGCUAUGUCCUGGUGAUGCAUUUUAGGCAUUUAAAAUUUGAUGCCAAGAGUUGCCAUAAGGUACAUCAAAGGGGAAGAACAUUACAUUAAGUGUCAUUGGUACAGAAGGGGAAGGACAUUACUUUAAGUGCAUCAUGUCUUAAUUCCAAAUCAUAGUUUACGCAUAUAGUUGAGUUGACGGUGUAUAAAAUUUCGUUCUGCUAUCUUCCAUAGUCUUGCUAUAAUGUAUUUGAGGUUUGUGUAUACAUGCAUUGACAUACAUUUGAUUUCUAAUUGUGGUAUUGCUAUAAUGUAUUUGAUGUUGGGAUUAAUUGACCACAUGGUGCCAAACUUUUUUCUUUCUUUAAGCACUCAUGUUAAAACCCUCGUUUCAAGCUCCUUUAGUUUUCUUAAUCACUUGCAGAAGGCUUCGCUAAUCUCUAAGGUAGAUCUUAUUAUGAUCCAUUUAAAAACUUCAUUUUAAACUUUGUGGGGCUUAGAUUGAUUUUCUCUGCUCCAGCCUCCACUUUUGAGUUUGAAUUUCAGUUAAAACACUUCGUUUGUAUGUAUAUAUGGAAGUUAUCUUCCUAGUGGGGUUUUAUCUGUGUCUGGUCGUGGGGAGUGGAAUAUUGAUCCCUAUUAACGACUAAAGUUUAGUGGUAGAAUUAUUCCUUAUGUUUAAGCUAUCUUCUUUGAAUUUAGUUUUAGAGACUUCCUUAAUUAUGCCCUCCUUCAAACUUUUCUAUUUCAAGAUUGGAUCAGAUUUAUCUCGAGCAACAAAACACUGGUAUUGCAGCCAGGAAAACGUGUAAAACCAUAUUCUUGUGAACUUGGGCAUAGGAAUUUUAUGAAACGGGAAGAACGUUAUAUUAAGUGUCAUUGGCAGAGAAGGGGGAAGGAAAUUACUUUAAGUUCAUCACGUCUUAUUACCAAAUCAUAGUGCACAAAUAAUUGACUUGAACAUGUUUAAACUUCAUUCAUGCUCUCUUUCCUGACUUACAAUGCAUUUGAUGUUUAAUCUUCAUUGACUUAUUUUUGCUUUCCAAAGGUCGUAUUGUUUAGCAAGCAAAUCCUACUGCUGUGAGUGAGCUUGUGGGCAUCUACAUGCAAGCCAUGUAGGACAGCAAACGAUGUGGUCAUUUACAGGCAAUUGCUUAUACGAUGGAUGGAGCUAUUUUGUUUAUUCUCCCCAAAUUUACAACAAAAUACGUAAACAUAUAUAUAUUUAUGGGAGAUUCACUAUAAUACCCAAUAUUGGAG